rnacentral:rRNA from 1 species
AAAUGUGGUCAAACCUCCUUGUCAAAGCCUGAUCUUGUCUGAUCUCAGAAGCUAAGCAGGGUUGUGUCUGGUUAGUACUUGGAUUCAAGACUGCUGGGAAAACCAGGUGCCACAGUGG